UGUCUUUUGAUUUUUAUAAAAGAUAUUUUCUGCCCGGUGUGUAUAUAAACGGCUGCGGUAUCUUGACCGUGCAAAGGUAGCAUAAUCAUUUGCCCAUUUAUUGUGGGCUGGUAUGAAUGGAAUAACAAGGUCUUGUCUGUCUCUUUUUUUUAGUUGGAAUUUGCUGUUUUUGUGAAGAAGCAGGGUUGAUUGAGAAAGACAAGAAGACCCUAUUAAGCUUUAUUUUUUUUAGGUGGGUUAUUGGUUUGAUAAGAAUAUUUUUCACUUAGUGAAAAAUUUGGUUGGGGCGACUAAAGAAGAUAAAAUCUUCUUUUUUAUGUAGAGUAUUUCUCUAAAGAUGAUCCGGAAAUAUUCCGAUUUUAAGAAUGAGUUACUAUAGGGAUAACAGCGUAAUCUUUUCAGAAAGUUCUUAUUGAGGAAAAGGAUUGCGACCUCGAUGUUGACUUAUUAUAACCUUUUUAGGUGUAGAAGCUGUGUGGGUUAGUCUGUUCGACUAUUAAAAUGAU
rnacentral:rRNA from 1 species